CGAACCAGCAACCUUUUGGUGCAAGGGACUAUGCACAACCAACUGAGCCACACAGGCCAGGGCUGUCAUGCAUUUUUAUGUCUUAACUUCACCAAGCCAAAUUGUCCUUAUUGGUGAUACAUAUGAACAGUGAAAUAGAUUUUUUAAAUUGCACCUGAAUGUCAUUAUGAAUCGUAAAUAACCAUUUCCUUUUCUGCUGAAGAAAUGGGCAGCCUUUCUCUGGUUUGUCAAGCACAACCCACCUGACUGAUCCAGUGUUCAUUUCCCUAUAUGGAACCUUGAUCAGAUGAGGAAACGGAGCCACAGAGGGGUUAAGUAACUUGCUCAGUAUUUCACUGCUAGUAAGUGGCGUAAUUAUUAUUUAAAUCCAGGCAUUCUGGCUCCAGAGCCUGUAUGCUUAACCAUUGUAUUGUACUGACUUAUUCUAUACUGACUGUCAUACUAUAGUAUAGUUCAUAGUGUUUUUAACCUGUAUCGUUUAAUCAUAUCAUGAACAAUCUUGAUAACAUUAAAUAUUCUUGUCCAACAUUUAAAAUAAAAGCCUACUCUUUUUCUUCCCUUAACAGGCAUUCCUCAUUUUACUGCAUUUUGCUUUAUUUUGCUUCACAGAUACUACAUUUUUUACAAAUUGAAGGUUUGUGGCAACCCUGCAUGGAGGAAGUCCACCAGCCCUAUUUUCUAACAGCAUUUGCUCACUUUGUGUCUUUGUCUACUCCUGGUGAAGAUACUGUGAAGAUUGUUGAAAUGACAACAAAGGAUUUAGAAUACUACAUAAACUUUGUUGAUAAAGCAGCAGUAGGGUUUGAGAGGAUUGGCUCCAAUUUUGAAAGAAGUUCUCCUGUGGGUAAAAUGCUAUCAAACAGCAUCACAUACUACAGAGAAAUCAUCUGUGAAAGGAGUCAGUCAGUGCAGCAAAUUUCUUUAUUGUCUUAUUUUAAGAAAUUGCCACAGCCGCCCAUCCUUCAGCAACCACCACCACCCUGAUUAGUCAGCAGCCAUCACAUUGAGACAACCCCCCAUCAGCAAGAUUAUAAUUCACUGAAGGCUCAGAUGAGGGCUGGCAUUUUUGAGCAAAAAAAGUAUUUUUAACUUUAGGUAUAUAUUUUUUAGACCUAAUAUCAUUGCACACUUAAUAGACUACAAUAUAGUAUAAACAUAGCUUUAUAUGGACUGGGAAACCAUAUAAUUCAUGUGACUUGCUUUAUUGUGAUAUUUGCUUUAUUGUGAUGGUUUGAAAACAAACCUGCAAUAUCUCUGAGGUAUGCCUGCAGUAUGUUUCAAACAUUCAAAAGUGUCCAGCAAAAUAAUACUUAAAAUAUUCAUGCACCCACUACUUGGUAUAACAAACGUUAAUAUUUUAGCAUAUUUGUUUUAGAAUCCCCCCUUCUGAAAAAACAAAACAAAAACCAAACAUAUACAUUUAGUAAGACUACGAUUUUAAGGUUUAAUUUCACUUAAACCUCUGUAGUGGCUGAAGAGCAUUCUGUAUUAUGGCUGUGCCAGGCAGGAUUCAUUUAACCAGUCCCACAGUGUUAGACAUUUGGUUCAUUUUCAAUACUAUAAAUAUAAAAAAUAUUUCUAUACAUUUCUGAUUAUUUCUUUAGGGCUAAAUCCUACUGCUUUGGUGGAUUGAAGAAUAUCAAUGUUGUAACAUAUUUUAAAAUUAUCAACCAAUACAUAGUUUUACCAAGUUAAUCUCUAUAUUGAAGGUAUUUAGUCAACUCUUGCCAAUAAUGGAUAUUAUUUUAAAGAAAUAUGCUAAUUUUACAGACCCCAAUUUAGACAAAUAGUACCUCUCAUUAUGGUCUCUAGUUUUAUGAGUGUGCUUGAAAAGGAAUUGAUGCUUACCCAUAUUUUCUGGUAGUUUAUGGAGGGUUUUUUCCCCCAUUUAAUGCUUUAGUACAGCUGUUACAUAUUUUUGUAUGUGAUGUGUAAGAGAGGUUCAAUUUAUUUAUCUAUUUAUUUUACAUUGCAAAAUACCAGUUGUCCAAAAAUCUUGCUUUAAAUAUGGUUUUGGUUUUGUUUCCAGGUUCAGAAUCCUUCAGAUCAACUUACCAGUAAGUUCAUCAUGUUAAACAGAUAAACGCAGCUGAAGUAGGGCAAGAGUUAUUUCAACCUGCCAGCAUCCCCUGCCCUCAUUCCUCCCUUCCCACAGAAGCUCCAGGGGGUACUUUGGAAACCAUUGGGAAAAUUCAUCCUCUCAUAUAUGACUUGAAAUGCCACAUCUGUAAUAUGCUGCAGUAAAAUUUUUACUUAUUCCAAUUAUUUUUCUAUUUUUUUACCAAUCUCAAACUUUAAUUUAUUGAGCCUAAGAACUUUCUAUUAUAACAAAAGAAGAAAUUGAAACAUCUAAUAAGUAAAAUAACAACAUGGGGUCUUUUGGGGCUUGUAAAAUUAGCAUAUUUUUUUAGAAUAAUACCCAUUAUUGGCAAGAGUUGACUAAAUACCAUCAAUACAGAGAAGAUUAACUUGGUAAAAUUAUGUACUGGUUGAUAAGAUGUAUGGAAAUAUGGAAAUAUUUUUUAUAUUUAUAGUAUUAAAAAUGAACCAAAGGUUUAACAUUUUGGGACUUGUUAAAUGAAUCCUGGCACAGCCAUAACACAGAAUACUCUUCAGCCAUUACAGUGAUGUUCUGAAAAGAAGAAAAUGUACCAUAUCAAGCACUUUAAUUAUAUUGUCUUGCUUUAAGCCUAACAGUAUGUCUAGAUGAGGGUAUUAUUAUUCCCAUUUAUAGAUGAGAAAACAUAGAAGUAAAGUUCAAACAACUGGUAAAGUAGUGUUGCUGGAAUUCAGCUCACGUCUGCUCUUAAUUCUUGUUCUUAAUCACUGUCCUACUGAUAUGGGGAAAUACUUAUUUUUUUACUAAGUUAUUGUUUUAAUGCCAUUUGACAUUAAAUAAACAAAACCCUUCCUCCUAUUUGUAAUCACUUCGUCCUUCCAAAGUUAGCAGUGCUUGGCAAUUUCCCCCCCAAAUGAAUCUACUUUUAUAUUUUUUUUAAGUUGAUUUUGGAAGUAUUGAAUGCCUGCUCUAAGAAUUCAAACAAUACAUAAGAUUAUAAAGUAACUGUACCUUUAAUCAUAAAAUAUAUUUCUGUAUAUGAUUGGAAA